GCUGAUCCUGCUGGCGGAUACUGCUAUUGAAAUCCGAUUUAGACAUGCAAGUCUCAAAGACGUAUACGGCGUCUUUGGCGAACGGCUCAGUAACACGUGGGUAAUCUACCUUUGGGACGGGUUAAUCCCGGGAAACUGGGGAUAAUGCCCGAUAGGCAAUUGCUACUGGAAGGUGCUUUUGCUCAAACACUACCACACCAUGUGGUCCGUGCCCAAGGAUGAGCCUGCGGCGGAUUAGGUUGUUGGCGGGGUAAAUGCCCACCAAGCCUUUGAUCCGUACGGGCCCUGAGAGGGGUAGCCCGGAGAAGGACACUGAGACAAGGGUCCUAGCCCUACGGGGUGCAGCAGUCGCGAAACCUUUACAAUGCGCGCAAGCGCGAUAGGGGGAUUUCAAGUGCACUCUCUGAGUGCUUUUGCCAAACCUAAAUAGUUUGGCGAAUAAGUGGGGGGCAAGAUACGUGCCAGCCGCCGCGGUAACACGUACUCCGCAAGUGGUAUCCACUAAUAUUGGGCCUAAAACGUCUGUAGCCGGUUUAAUAAGUCUUUGGUGAAAUCAUUGCGCUUAACGUAAUGAAUUGCCAAAGAAACUGUUUGACUCGAGGCCGGGAGACGCCAAGGGAAUUUUUGGGGUAACGGUGAAAUGUUAUGAUCCUGAAAAGACCACCAGUAGCGAAGGCGCUUGGCGAGAACGGACCUGACGGUGAGAGACGAAAGCUGGGGGAGCGACCCGGAUUAGAUACCCGGUUAGUCCCAGCCGUAAACGAUGUGGACUAGGUGUACUGUCACCCACGUGGUGCUAGUGUGCCGAAGGGAAGCCAUUAAGUCCACUGCCAGGGAAGUACGCCCGCAAGGGUGAAACUUAAUGGAAUUGACGGGGGCGCACUACAAGGGGUGGAUGCUGCGGUUUAAUUGGAUAAAACCCCAGAUAAUCUUACCAGGGCCGACAGCAGAAUGAUGGACAGUCUGAAGGGCUUUCCUGACGCGCUGAGAGGUGUUGUAUGGUCAUCGUCAGCUCGUACUAUGAAGCGUCCUGUCAACUCAGGCAACGGGCGAGACCCAUGUCACUAGUUGCUACUUUCUCUUUUGAGAGGGGCACUCUAGUGAGACUGCAGUAGCAAUAUUGAGGAAGGAGUGGGCGACGGUAGAUCUGUAUGGCCCGAAUGCCCUGGGCAACACGCGGCAUACAAUGGUUGAGACAAUGGGUUCCGACUCUAAAAAGAGAAGGUAAUCUCCUAAACUUAACCUCAGUUCGGAUCGAGGGUUGUAACCUACCCUCGUGAAAUUGGAAUCCCCAGUAACCGCGCUUCAUUAUAGCGCGGUGAAUAAGUCCCUGCGCCUUGCACACACCGCCCAUCAAGCCAGUCGAGUAGAGCUUGGAUGAGUUAUUUUCGUUAGAGAAUCACGAUUCUGAGUUCCGCGAGACGGGCUAAGUUGUAACAAGGUG
rnacentral:rRNA from 1 species